rnacentral:misc_RNA from 1 species
UUUAAAUAGUGUUAUUUUUGUGAACUGUUUAUUGUUAAAAGUGAAAAAUAUACAAAACUGCAUAUAUUAUUUUAAGCGACUUACUUAAAAUUUGCACAUUAUCAUCAUGGAGAAUAUGGAGCUCUCGUUUACUUUUGACGAGUUCAAUUAUGAGCGUGAUUUCACUGCCGAUAACUAUGAAUUUGAAUGUUUAUGGUUCGAGUAUGCCGAAGAGAUGCAACGGGUUGAUGAAUUCGCAGACUUUGAGCAAAACUUUGUCAAACAGUUGACAAUAGUGGACACUUCCUAAAGGAUAAUGUUUUAUGGGACCAUAUUACUCACUUUAAGGAUUACAUUAACUGCAUUUUAAGGAAUACAUUAACAGCAUGUUUUGCAGAGCAAAGAAUGCGGAUAAUACUGAAUCCUGUACUUUACAUUUACAUAUGAAACUCAAAACCUGAUAGCGGGAAGGCUGUUUUUAUCAACUGAAUUCGUCUCGGACCUUUCAUCAUUAAAAAGCUACUUUCACUAAGGUCCAACUGAUCUUUUUCACUGAUCCUUCUGAUACUCCAACGAUCAGAAGUAAGAUGUUUGACUGCUAAUCGUC